rnacentral:rRNA from 1 species
UCCGUAGGUGAACCUGCGGAAGGAUCAUUAAAAGUGCCCCUGCCUAAUACAUACGGUUUGGCGGACUACACCACUGUCCUGCCCCCUUCGUGUCUUCGGAUGCUAGGGGGUUAGGUUAUUGUGUCUACCCAUUGUGAAACUUCUACCUUUGCUUCGGCAGCACUCUCAGCGAAAGCUGGAGGGGUAAGGCUGUCAGAAGCCCAUAUCAAACUAGUUGAUGAAAUGUCAUGCAGUCUGAUACUUUUAUAUUUGAGAAAUCAAAUUGACCUUAAAACUUUCAGCAACGGAUCUCUUGGUUCUCGCAUCGAUGAAGAACGCAGCGAAACGCGAUAGGUAAUGUGAAUUGCAGAAUUCCGUGAAUCAUCGAAUCUUUGAACGCACAUUGCGCCUGCUGGUAUUCCGGUAGGCAUGCCUGUUCGAGCGUCAGCAAAACCUCUCAACAAUGAUUUAUUAUUGUUGGUUAUGGGCUGUGGAGGACUAGUCAUUACGGCUGCUCCCGCCUUAAACUUGCUGCACGACCGCAAGCUAAUGCUAGGUUAAUGAAGUGGUGUUUACAUAUAUUUCAGCGACUGUUCAUAGCUUGGUGGCGUUAAAACUGUUGCCACUCUGUGGUGAUUUGAUUUUUGACCUCGAAUCAGACAAGGAUACCCGCUGAACUUAAGCAUAUCAAUAAGCGGAGGA